UUACAGGUCAUUAAAAUGCAAGACACAGAAAUGACAUCCCUUACUAAGGAAUAGAUACGUUCAAAGAUUUCAGCAAAGCAGAUAUUUCUUUUUUGUUGCACAAUAUUUGGCCCUUCAAAUUGGAGAACAACCAUGCAUCUUAAACCAGAGGCUCUCCAGUCCUAACUAAUGCUCCUAAGCAAAGUCUACGAGAAAUACAAAUAAUUUCAAUAUUGUGUUAGCUACAUUAACGUUUUAGAAUUAUAAUGUCGCUGCAAAUGGGCCAAACCUCAACAACGGGAAAUGAUUGAAGAGAAGUUACUUCUAUAUUCGCGUUACAAGAGAGAAGGAAUUAUAAUUGUAUUGGGACAAUUAAAAUGUGGAUUUUACCUAGGGACAAAUUCAAUUAUUUUAAUUAUAGAAAGGCUUUCUUUAUAUCCGACAAUAAAUGUUCCUUAACAAACAAAUAUUUUUAUCGGAUACUAAAAAAUCGGU